GACGAACGCUGGCGGCGUGCUUAACACAUGCAAGUCGAGCGAUGAAAUCCCUUCGGGGAUGGAUUAGCGGCGGACGGGUGAGUAACACGUGGGUAACCUGCCUCAAAGAGGGGGAUAGCCUCCCGAAAGGCAGAUUAAUACCGCAUAACAUUAGGUUUCCGCAUGGAGAACUAAUUAAAGGAGCAAUCCGCUUUGAGAUGGAGCCGAGGCGCCUUAGCUAGUUGGUGAGGUAACGGCUCACCAAGGCGACGCUGCGUAGCCGCACCUGAGAGGGUGAUCGGCCACAUUGGAACGGAGACACGGUCCAGACUCCUACGGGAGGCAGCAGUGGGGAAUAUUGCACAAUGGGCGAAAGCCUGAUGCAGCAACGCCGCGUGAGUGAUGAAGGCCUUCGGGUUGUAAAGCUCUGUCUUUUGGGACGAUAAUGACGGUACCAAAGGAGGAAGCCACGGCUAACUACGUGCCAGCAGCCGCCGUAAAAC
rnacentral:rRNA from 1 species